GCGGGACAAGAUGGGAUGGUACAGUCAAAGGGGAUAGGGAUGGCCUCCCCUAGUUGGUGGAUCCUUCAUCAGACAUUCUUUCAGCCUUACGGCCAACUCGUGAUUGAUUAACUAUGGCUUCCUGAGUGCCACAAUCUAAAAUCAAUAGCCUAUCUAGCAACAGCUGGUGCACGAAAGUCCCAUCUUUGGUGGUCUGAUGCACCUUUGAUUCCAGCCACUCCAAUGCCAGACAGAGGCUAGCUGCAACAUGGGGCAUACCAACCAGAUCAGAAGAAAAAACAAGCUUCAAAAGAUCUACAUAAAACUUUCUGAUAAGGAAUUCUUAAGCCUUAAUUUUUUAUUUCUUUUGAAAAAGAUCACAGGCCAGAUACGCCCAUGAAGGUAGAAGCCAAAAUCCAUUGGCCGAAGACCCUACUCUUCAAGUGGGGGAGGAGAAGACUAGAUUGGAGUAGGCCAGAGUAUAUCCAUGAAAGUGGAAGUCGAAACCCACCGACCGAAGAUCCCACUCUUCAAGUGGGGGAGGAGAAGACUGGGUUGGAGUAGGCCAGAGUACGUCCAUGAAGAUGGAAGUCGAAACCCAUCAGUUGAAGAUCCAACUUUUCAAGUGGUGGAGGAGAAGACGAGGUCGAAGUAGAUCAGAAUAUGUCCAUGAAGGUGGAAGUCGAAACCCAUCAGUCGAAGAUCCCACUCUUUAAGUGGGGGAGGAGA
rnacentral:lncRNA from 1 species